UUGCACCAGGCGGGGGAGCAUGUGGUUUAAUUCGAAGCAACGCGAAGAACCUUACCAGGCCUUGACAUGCUGAGAACCUGCCAGAGAUGGCGGGGUGCCUUCGGGAACUCAGACACAGGUGCUGCAUGGCGGUCGUCAGCUCGUGUCGUGAGAUGUUGGGUUAAGUCCCGUAACGAGCGCAACCCUUGUCCUUAGUUACCAGCACGUUAUGGUGGGCACUCUAAGGAGACUGCCGGUGACAAACCGGAGGAAGGUGGGGAUGACGUCAAGUCAUCAUGGCCCUUACGGCCUGGGCUACACACGUGCUACAAUGGUCGGUACAAAGGGUUGCCAAGCCGCGAGGUGGAGCUAAUCCCAUAAAACCGAUCGUAGUCCGGAUCGCAGUCUGCAACUCGACUGCGUGAAGUCGGAAUCGCUAGUAUCGUUUUUCUC
rnacentral:rRNA from 1 species